CCUACGGGUGGCAGCAGUGGGGAAUAUUGGGCAAUGGGCGCAAGCCUGACCCAGCAAUGCCGCGUGAAGGAAGAAGGCUUUCGGGUUGUAAACUUCUUUGACAGGGGAAGAGCAGAAGACGGUACCCUGAAAACAAGCCACGGCUAACUACGUGCCAGCAGCCGCGGUAAUACGUAGGUGGCAAGCGUUGUCCGGAUUUACUGGGUGUAAAGGGCGUGUAGCCGGGAAGGCAAGUCAGAUGUGAAAUCCGGAGGCUCAACCUCCGAAUUGCAUUUGAAACUGUUUUUCUUGAGUACUGGAGAGGUAAGUGGAAUUCCUAGUGUAGCGGUGAAAUGCGUAGAUAUUAGGAGGAACACCAGUGGCGAAGGCGGCUUACUGGACUGUAAAUGACGCUGAGGCUCGAAAGCGUGGGGAGCAAACAGGAUUAGAUACCCCUGUAGUC
rnacentral:rRNA from 1 species